AGCAACAGCACUCGCUUUGGAAUUGCAGCUAAAUACAAGUUGGAUUCCACUGCCUCCCUCUCUGCUAAAGUGAACAACUCUAGUCUAGUUGGAGUGGGUUACACCCAGACCCUGAGGCCAGGUGUGAAGCUUACUUUGUCUGCCCUGAUAGAUGGAAAGAGCAUCAAUGCUGGUGGCCAUAAACUUGGUCUAGGCCUGGAAUUGGAAGCUUAAAAAGGUGAAGAAACUGCUGCAGAGAAGGGAUAUCAGAAGAAUUUGGCCUUAAAACGUAUUUCCAAUGUGACCAGCAGGCUUUUUCCCAAAACGAGUACAAGAGCUGUAUUUGUAUUUAGGCAGUUACUUGUUAGCUGGUUUCUAGUUAAAUUGGUUACCCGUCUAGUUACGAGUCUGCACUAGCGCAGUCACUUAAACAUUACUUAAAUGUAUUUAACUGUUCAAUGCGCUACCCACAAAUAAGGAAAUAGACAUCUGAGAAAACUGUACAAUUGUGUGCAUGCUUGUUUUAUGUUCCUUUUAACAUUCAAUAUUGCUGUUGAAUGGAAAAUCAAUCAGUGGAUAUCUUGAAAUGAGGUCAACGGUUCUGUCAAAUCACCUUACGUAGAAAUACAUUUGGUAUCCCAAGAUGACUCAAA